UCUGGGAUCAGUGUGUUCACACCUGCAGCUACAACAAGGUUUCAUGUCUCCACACGUCAGCAUGUGAACUUUACUCUGACUCAGUCUGAGCAGUCAGACGGCAUAUUUUUAAAGUUAACACAUCAGCACACACAGAGCUAAGCUCCUCCCACCUGUGCUGAGCUUCAGGUGGAGUCCCGCCUCCUUCCAGGAAGCAGCUCACCUGUGUGUCCGUGUUUAGUGUCCAGGGCCCUGUUUCAGAAAGCCGGUUUAGUGCAAACUCUGAGUAAGUAUACCCUGAGUUAACGAAAACUCUGGGUUUUCGGUUUCACAAAGCGAGUUUAGAUUAAUUCUGAGUGAGUUACUAUGACGACACACUCCGUGAAGCUAACCUGCCCCCUAGCAGGUUUACUUCAACUAACCCUGACUUUCUCCGCCUCUUUGUCGGAAACCUGACUGUAGGAAGUGUCAGACAUGGCGUGCCCCUUCCUUGAAGAGCCAGUAGAUGUUGAAGCCCAAAUUCUCCGCAGAGCUCUCCGCCGGGAGAGAGUGAUUAGAGCGCGUUUGGACAUUUUAUCAUUUCCUGAUGAUUUUCUGUGUGAACGUUUUUUUUUUUUUUCAGCACAAUCUAUAAUUUAUUUGAAUAUCAUCCUCAGGCCUUAUAUUGCUCAUGUGACACAUCACGGACAUUCUCUCAGUUCUGUACAUAAUAUUUGUAUUGCACUUCGUUUUUUGCAAACGGGAGCUUUCUGUAUAAUAUUGGUGACGCUGAGCACGUUUCCAAGGCUACCGUCUGUCGGGCAGUCAGGAAUGUUACAGUUGCACUGAAACGUCUCCUGUACUCGUUUGUGGUGUUCCCCGGUCACAGACCCACAAGAUUUAUCAAAGAGGGAUUCCACAAAAUUGCAGGGUUCCCAGGCGUGAUUGGCUGUAUAGAUGGCACUCACAUUCCAAUCAUUGCUCCUUCAGUAAAUGAAGGAGACUAUGUGAACAGGAAGUCUUUCCACAGCAUUAAUGUACAGGUACAUAGUUCCCUGUAGCAUUUCAAACUAACAAAUUAUUUCAUUAUAGUAAUGGAGUAUAGUAAUUUACCUCUUAUGUA